UUCCGGUUGAUCCCGCCGGACCCUACUGCUAUCGGGGUGGGACUAAGACAUGCGAGUCGUGCGUCUCUAAGCUAUGGUAGAGACGCGGCAUACGGCUCAGUAACACGUGGCUAACCUACCCUUGGGACGGAGACACCCCCGGGAAACCACGCGCAGGCACGUAAUCAGCUUUCUCGAUGCGCUCAAAGCAUAGCUAUGCGCACAUAGUUCAUGUACAACCCGCUUUCCUUAACGGAAAAACGAACCUAAGAAGCUUUGAGUCAACAAUUCACGGUAACACAUCACCGCUAACAGAGACAAACAGAAGCUCUGGCGUGGCCCAAAACUGGGGUUAAUACUCGAUGGGUGAAGAGGCCUGGAAUGGUCCUCCACCGAAAAGACGUUGAAACCACGCUUUUCAACGUUGCCCAAGGAUGGGGCCGCGUCCGAUCAGGUUGUUGGUGGGGUAACGGCUCACCAAGCCUAUAACCGGUACGGGCCGUGAGAGCGGGAGCCCGGAGAUGGGCACUGAGAUAAGGGCCCAGGCCCUACGGGGCGCAGCAGUCGCGAAAACUCCGCAAUGCGCGGAAGCGUGACGGGGCUACCCCGAGUGUCGUCCGCUGAGGAUGACUUUUCCCCGGUGUAAGGAGCCGGGGGAAUAAGGAGAGGGCAAGCCUGGUGUCAGCCGCCGCGGUAAUACCAGCUCUCCGAGUGGUAGGGAUGAUUAUUGGGCUUAAAGCGUCCGUAGCCGGCCCGGCAAGUCUCCCGUUAAAUCCAGCGACCUAAUCGUUGGGCUGCAGGAGAUACUGUUGGGCUAGGAGGCGGGAGAGGCCGACGGUAUUCCCGGGGUAGGGGUGAAAUCCUAUAAUCCUGGGAGGACCACCAGUGGCGAAGGCUGUCGGCUAGAACGCGCUCGACGGUGAGGGACGAAAGCUGGGGGAGCGAACCGGAUUAGAUACCCGGGUAGUCCCAGCUGUAAACGAUGCGGGCUAGGUGUUGGGGUGGCUACGAGCCACUUCAGUGCCGCAGGGAAGCCAUUAAGCCCGCCGCCUGGGGAGUACGGCCGCAAGGCUGAAACUUAAAGGAAUUGGCGGGGGAGCACCACAAGGCGUGAAGCUUGCGGUUUAAUUGGAUUCAACGCCGGG
rnacentral:rRNA from 1 species